UUGCUAAGCCGAGUCCCGGGGGUCUGUGUGCGGACGCGGGGCCUCCAGCUUCACCUCAGAGCGGUCUGACGGAGCAGCUUCCAUCCACCCAUGGCUGGUACCACCCGGCGGCGUCUGAGCAGGAAGAUGGCAGUUCCCUGUAUAGAAAUCCAGAAAAUUACGCAGCAGAAACCAAAAAACAAGAAAGAAAGAUAAGAAAAGAAAAAGUCCAAUAACUUCUUUGAGGCUUUGGUCCGAACAGACGGAGGAGCUGAUGCCACUUCUGCUUCCUCCUCAACUUCCCCUCUAACAGCAGCAGAUUUUCCGGGCGGUGCUGGUUCGGUGGGAGGCGCAGGCUCGGCUGGAGGCGCGGGCUCGGUGCGUUUCAGGGGCGAGAAACUUGAGCAGGGAUCGUUCACGCAAAACCUCGGGAGUCCUGUGAUGGUUCUGUGUGGUGACUGCUUCCAGAGCCGUGAGUAGAGAUGAUGAUUAAAAACAGUAAUUUUAAAAAAUCACAGUUUGGAUUUUCCUCGCUUGUUUUAUGGGUUCGGAGCAGCGGAGAGGACCGAGGACCGACCCGCUCACUGCUGCUGCUGCCUGCACCGGAGCUGUCCGCGGUGCUGAAGCGAGCAUCUCCCCCUCCUCCCUCCUCCUCCCUCCCCUCUCCUCUCCUCACCCUCCCCUCCAGAGCUGGGUGGUGUCUUCAUGGAUACUCCCCCCGUCUUGCACGCACACACGCACACACACACACUCAGGUAAUCUAUGGGCCACUUCUAGGCUGCUCGGUGAGGAAGAGGAAGAAGAAAAAAAGAAAAGUUUGGAGAAACAGAAAUCAGUCGGGUCGAAUCGGGUGAAGUUAAGCGGACAUGGAGAAGCUGUCAGGGUCAAACUGCUCCGUGUCCCUGUGUAAAAGCUUUCACAGCAGUUUAAGCUGCAUCCAUCUUUGUGCCAUCAUUAUAAUAAUCUUAACGCUGCAGCCUGACCCCCAGCUUGCAUCUAUUUGCAUGACAUUUCGUGUGAAUGCAUGACUGAAGACAGGACUCGUGGUGGUUUGUACGGUGCAGAUUCUGUUUUGAUCCCAGUUUAAUGCAUUUUUUUUUUUUUGCCUGUUUGUAUAAUUCACUUUUGGACCAUUUUACAUUCAGAGUCUUCUAACAGAGUUGCUGCCUUCAGACCAGCUGAUCGGCUCUGAGCUCGGUGAGCGGUUACGUGAUGUCAGGUUUGGUUUUCUGGUCGCUUGUAAGAUGAGCAACAGCGCCUCCUUCUGUUUGUGUCGCCACAUGUCCGGACAGAGAGGUGAUGGAGACGCUGCACGGUGGCUGGUGUCUUUACCUUUUUUUACCUCUCAGCUGUGUAUCCAGGUGUGCAGCUGUUUUCAUUUAUGUGUCAGAGGUAACAAGAGCAAAUUAAAUGACAUUAAUAUUCUUAUCUUUUCCAGGGAAAUUUUCA